ensembl:lncRNA
UGGGAUUCGAAUUUCGUACCAAGAGACUUUUUUGUAGGUAUUGGUGUGUUACAUGUGUGUACCGAUUUUUGUACAUGUACGUGAAACGUAGCUCGAGGCGCACUCCGUUGAAAAUGUAUAGGUGGCGCUAUCGAGGCAUUUUGCCACACCCGAUGGAAUAUUGGCCUUCAGAUGUGUUCAGGCCAGGACUCUUAUCAAACAUGUGAAGUUUGGGCAAGAUCGGACAUUUUAUGCCUGAGUUACAAUAACUUUUAUUCCCAUGGCGAGACAUCGAACUUUGUGACGGCGCCAUGGACACGCCCUUUAACGAAAACUCAAGAUCUUCACAAUUUAACAUCGCACAG